GUCGAGCGGCAGCGGGUCCUUCGGGAUGCCGGCGAGCGGCGGACGGGUGAGUAAUGCCUAGGAAUCUGCCUGGUAGUGGGGGAUAACUCGGGGAAACUCGAGCUAAUACCGCAUACGUCCUACGGGAGAAAGCGGGGGAUCUUCGGACCUCGCGCUACCAGAUGAGCCUAGGUCGGAUUAGCUAGUUGGUGAGGUAAAGGCUCACCAAGGCGACGAUCCGUAGCUGGUCUGAGAGGAUGAUCAGCCACACUGGAACUGAGACACGGUCCAGACUCCUACGGGAGGCAGCAGUGGGGAAUAUUGGACAAUGGGCGAAAGCCUGAUCCAGCCAUGCCGCGUGUGUGAAGAAGGUCUUCGGAUUGUAAAGCACUUUAAGUUGGGAGGAAGGGCAGUAAGUUAAUACCUUGCUGUUUUGACGUUACCGACAGAAUAAGCACCGGCUAACUUCGUGCCAGCAGCCGCGGUAAUACGAAGGGUGCAAGCGUUAAUCGGAAUUACUGGGCGUAAAGCGCGCGUAGGUGGUUUGAUAAGUUGGAUGUGAAAGCCCCGGGCUCAACCUGGGAAUUGCAUCCAAAACUGUCUGACUAGAGUAUGGCAGAGGGUGGUGGAAUUUCCUGUGUAGCGGUGAAAUGCGUAGAUAUAGGAA
rnacentral:rRNA from 1 species